CAGUAGCCGCGGGAAUACGAGGGGGGCAAGCGUUGUUCGGAAUUAUUGGGCGUAAAGGGCGCGUAGGCGGUUUGACAAGUCUGAUGUGAAAUCUCUGGGCUCAACCCAGAGUCUGCAUCGGAAACUGUCGAGCUUGAGUAUGGGAGAGGUGAGUGGAAUUUCCGGUGUAGCGGUGAAAUGCGUAGAUAUCGGAAGGAACACCUGUGGCGAAAGCGGCUCACUGGACCAUUACUGACGCUGAGGCGCGAAAGCUAGGGGAGCAAACAGGAUUAGAUACCCCCGUAGUCCCUGUCUCUUAUAC
rnacentral:rRNA from 1 species